UGGGUCAAGCAGGAUAGCCAUAGCAAAGUAUAUAGACCGAGUCUACACAAAUCUUCCACCGAAUCACUCGGCUUUGUUGACUCACCAUCUUAAGCGUUUGAAGAACAGUGGUUACCUUGCUAUGGUCAAACACUCUUACAUGCUCGCCGGACCACCUGGAUCUGCUGCUCCUCCUCCUCCCGCCGACGUCGAUUCCAACGGUGUUGGUACUGAUGUUUCUUCUCUUACUAAAAGGAAACCUGGUCGUCCUCCUAAGCUCAAGCCCGAGGCCCAACCUCAAGUCCAAGCUCAAGUCCAGUUUCAAGAUCAACUUCAAGCCCAGCUUCAAGCCCAACUUCAAGCCCAACUUCAAGCCCAACAGCAGCAAGCAGCCCAGUUUCAACCUCAAUUCCAAACCCAGCCUCAAUUCAUCCAACAGCAGCCCCAGUACUUACCUCAACAACAGUUCCAACCCGACCCGUUACUCCAACCUCAGCAACAGUUCCAGACCCAGCCACAGACGCAGGCCUAUGCUGCUACUGAAGCCCAAAAUUAUGCGGGCCUUGGUGCCGAAUCCGUGUUUGUUUCUCUGGGGCUAGCUGAUGGGCCUGUUGGAGUUCAGAAUCCUGCUGUUGGGCUAGCUCCGGCACCGGGAGCGGAAGAGAGCACGACGAAGAAACGACCAGGUCGUCCCCGUAAGGAUGGAUCCACUGUAGUUAAACCGGUGGAACCCAAAUUACCGGACCAGAGUGGUGGUACUAAGAGGAGACCUGGUCGUCCUCCUAAGAGUACGACAGUUGAUGCUGCUCCUGGAUCAGCUAUGGGUACUGGACGACGAGGUCGGCCCAGGAAAAAUUCUGCUCCUGGACGACGAGGUCGGCCCAGGAAGAAUGCGGCUGUUGCUGCUGCCAAUGGCGGUGCCAAUGCCGCAAAUUUUCCUUCUGUUGGUGCCAAUGUGACAAAUGUUCCAGCUGGUGGUGUCCCGAGUGGAGCCAUACCGACACCUAAACGACGGGGACGGCCACCAAGGUCUAGUGGACCCCCUACUGCUACUGUGGGUGUUACAGAUGUGCCUAUUGCUGCUGCUUUUGAAACCGAAAACUUGCCUACUGCUGUUAGUGGUGGCGUCACAAAUAAUGGGGCUAUGCCUCCCCUCGGAAAGCGACGUGGACGGCCUCCAAAAUCUUACAGCGCUAC
rnacentral:lncRNA from 1 species